CACUUUUAUUCCGAUCAAUGGCAGCUUAACAUAUGCUUUACUUUGAAUUGCAUAGAUCAAUCUUGAUAGGGUGCCACGGCAAUUAGGUGUGACAUGAGCUGGCUUUGCACCAUUCGUUUAACACCUUCAAGUCAAUGCUAUUGAUCAGCUGCUGAAAGAAUUCGUUCCAUUUUCUUUUCUUUCUAUCAGGAUCUUGUUAGCGGGUGGCCUUCAGUUCACAGUGCUGCCAGGGAAGCCUAUUGAACUCAUGCCAAAAUGGGAGAGUACACAAGGUCAUAUUUCUUCAAUGUGUUUUGUUAUGACAGACCACUCACACCAAUUUCACUGGCUUUAAUAUGUCACUGUCUUACAAACUGAAUUGCUUUCUGACUCAUUUAAGUUAAGCAACAGAUGAGUGGGUGUGAAUCUGGCUUAAGUUCUUGUCUGGGCGAUUUUCUUCAAUGUUCUUUGUGUGCCAGUUCUUUGAGCCCGGCUUCGGCUGGGGAGGGCGGGAUAUAAAUAAAAUUUAUUAUUAUUAUUAUUAUUAUUAUUAUUAUUAUUAUUUAGGAAUCAUAACCAUUUCUCCUAAACUCUUGUGUCCAACUGAAUUGGAAGAACUCUUGCAGGCUGCAGUGCAAUUUAAUUGUGUAGAAUGUAUCAAAUGCAAUUAAAAGAAUCAAAUAAUGACUACAUUACAUCAUAUUAACAACUCCCAUGUAUUCGUUUUGGGAGGAAAACAGGUACUUGGAAAAAGGCAUAAAACCAUUGACCAAAGACCAAUCCUAUGAUAAGAAAAACACUUUCUUGUACUAUGAAGAGUAAUUGAAAGCAAAAUUCAUAAUCCUACUAUAUUUGUCAAUGGCUAGAUGCUUUCCUUAGUCUGGUAGUAUGCCAAACUAUCCCCCCCCCCGAAAAAAAACAGCUAGUGGCAUCAAUGCUUGUACUAGAUGAUUUUUCAUUAACACUUCAGUACUUUAGGGACGCUGGUGGCGCUGUGGUCUGAACCACUGAGCCUAGGGCUUGCCAAUCAAAAGGUUGGCAGUUUGAAUCCCCAUGCGGGGUGAGCUCCCGUUGCUCGGUCCCAGCUCCUGCCCACCUAGCAGUUCGAAAGCACGUCAAAGUGCAAGUAGAUAAAUAGGUACCACUGUGGCGGGAAGGUAAACAGCAUUUCUGUGCACUGCUCUGGUUCACCAGAAGCGGCUUAGUCAUGCUGGCCACUUGCCCCGGAAGCUCGUUUGCAGACAAACGCCAGCUUAUAGAGCGAGAUGAGCGCCGCAACCCCAGAGUUGUUUGCAACUGGACCUAACGGUCAGGGGUACCUUUACCUUUACCCUUACUUCUGUUUGGUUUUACUUUUGAAGAACAAAACAACUUUGAAGUACAAAAAAAUAAUAAUAUUUGUAUUAUUUUCCUUCUCCUUGUUGGUGCAAAAAACAAAAACAAAAAAGAUAUAGAAAGGAGAAUUCCAUGGAUGCCAAAAUCCAAGUUUGGGUCAACUAUUCUUUGGUGAGAGGACUUCAGCAGAAAUUUAAAAUCACAACACAUACCUUCUAUGUUUCUUCCAAAGUUUCCCUCUUCCCCUGCCAUAGAAAAAUACCACACGGUUUUUAAGUUAAAUAUUAUUUGUUUGCAAACUACAGAUUCAUGUGCUUUUCCAUACAGCAUUCAGAAAAAGUUGCAUAGGCAAUAAAAACUUGGCUUAAAUACAAAGUGGGGAAAGUUCCUAAAUUAUUGGUAUAGGAACUCAUGAGUGGCUUGUGAGAGCCAUGCGGUCUGAGCUGGAGCAACCAGCUCAAACCCCUUCACACGUUGAGCUUCUCAGGUGAAGGACAAAAAGACUUGAUAACCUACUUUUUCUCAAGGUGAAUGGAAGUGGACCUAAUUAAGCCUGGCAUUACAACUUACUCUAUGUUAUUAACCCCUUUGUGUGUUAAUUAGACUUUAGCAUGUUAGUUAUAUGAGGCUGGUUUCCCCACACUCUUUAAGUAGGUGCAUGUUGCUCUACUACUCCUUCUACACUAGUACUACCAAAAGAGGGAGGAUGAGUCCAUUGGCCACUUCCUCACUCACACACCCCAUCCGCUGUUCUUGCAGUCUCCCAUAUGUUGGGGGCUGAACCUCUGCAAUGCAGAGCUUGCUAAGGACUAGGAAAAUCUGUCAGUUUCAGUUUCUCUAGGUUUCUCAUUUCCCCUAUAUUAAAUUCAGUUCUAUGCACUUCUUUAUCAGUUUGUGAUUUUUUAAAGGAAGUCCUCAUGACAAUUCGUCAGUGUUUCAGUGUACAUUUUGUCCACAAUGAACAUUUUUAUGUCAUUUUGACUAACAUACACAUUUUUGCAAAACAAUUGCCCCUAAUAUAAUGAAACUUUAUUUUCACUAAGAUAUGCACUUUACCCUAGCACGGGAGAAGUGAUAAGUAUGAAUUUCAAAGGAUGUCUGUGUAUUUGGUUCAGAGGGGGGGGGGGCAAAAUCUGGAAAUUUUACUUUUAAAUGCAAAUUGUUUCUAAGCAUGAAUAAGCAUGAAUACUGUCCUCCCCACACCACCUUGUCACCUGCUGCCCAACACAUCUCAAUGGUGUCCAGCAGGAAACACACACUUUGCCCCCCCCCAUGUUUUUCCCCUCAGGCCCAUCUCUGCAGGGCGGGUGAGCAAAAAAUGCUCUGUUUUCUUUUGUGUGGACAAAGAGAAGAUGGGUGCCAGAAAAAGCAAAACCGAGGGGAGGGACAGAGGGAGGGAGACUUCAGGCAGAGAAGAGAAAGAGCUAUGAAACACCGGAGGGUGGCAGGAAGAAACAAGGGACCCCUAGGAGAACAGCCUUGAAAGAUGCUGCUUUUGGUGGGCUGGUGGGGAAAGUCAAGGCAAACACAGAGGAGGCAGAGGAAGAGAGAUGGGUUUUGGACCUUGCCAAGGCCGUCUUAACCAUAGUUACCAGGGGUGCAAGGCCAAGAGUCCAGUCCCGAGAGUUGGAGUCUGGGGAAGAACCUGCCCAUCAGUCGGAGCACCACGACAGGCUCUUCUGAUGUGGGCUUUUCUGCGCCGCAAGUUCAGGGGCAAGCGAGCCAGUGAAAUGCUGAGGCAGCCAACCGGCUCCGCCCUCCUGCGCACCUGGGAUUGGUGUAGGGCCGUGGAUAGGCCUGCCCAGUGCACACUGCUUACACCAACACCUCCGGCUUGUUUGUUGCACUGGACUCCUUAUGUUUCGUGUUUUCUUUUCCUGAGCAGAGAUAAGCGUGGUGUCAGGUUCCUAAAAAAGGUUGACAACUCUGGGCAACCUGGGGGGAGGGCAGGCGUCGGGCAGAUCUUUGCACCCUGGCACCGCAUAUGCUUAAGACAGCCCUGGACUUUGCCUCGGGUUCUGGCAACCCAUGCUAUGUCACUGCAUCCUGUGAUGGUGAUUACAUGUGGGGAGUGGGGAGAAUGACUGAAUAGGUCUAUAGCAUUAUUUCUGGCAGAGGGGCUCCAGUGUAUGCAUGAACACCAGUUACUCCCCCAUUCAUGAAUGAGCUCAUGAGCAGCCCUCUAAGCAUCAAGAAUUCUAUUUCUAUUUAGCCAAUGGAUCACAGCCGCUGCCCAAGAACUAGACGUCUGUAUACAUGUGAAUGGGCUGGUUUUCUCUUUGGGGCUCAUCCCUUCCAAACUGCAACGGACACUCUUCAUAUAAUCCCCUGUCAUUUAGCAACAGAUGCUGCAUCUAGCCAUUGAGAUAACUUUAAAUGGUUCACAGGGGCCUUUCCACCUUUCAAUCAAUGGAGGAAAAAGUUGUGAAUGAAGCUCAAAGAGGCAUUCUAAUUUAUGUUACGAGCAAGGGAGCUUCAUUGAAACUAAUCAGAUUUUUAUAGUAUUAAUUUG
rnacentral:lncRNA from 1 species